CUCCUGAAGGAACGUUGAAGACGACGACGUUGAUAGGUCGGGUGUGUAAGCGCAGCGAUGCGUUGAGCUAACCGAUACUAAUGAACCGUGAGGCUUAACCUU
rnacentral:rRNA from 4 species